rnacentral:misc_RNA from 1 species
UCCGGUUUAUCACCGGCAGUCCCCCAUGAGUCCCCGACAUUACUCGCUGGCAACAUAGGGCAAGGGUUGCGCUCGUUGCGGGACUUAACCCAACAUCUCACGACACGAGCUGACGACAGCCAUGCAGCACCUGUCCUAGAGUCCCGAAGGAGGCCUCCUGUUUCCAGGAGGUUUCCCUAGGAUGUCAAGCCUGGGUAAGGUUCUUCGCGUUGCCUCGAAUUAAGCAACAUGCUCCGCCGCUUGUGCGGGCCCCCGUCAAUUCCUCUGAGUUUUAGCCUUGCGGCCGUACUCCCCAGGCGGGGUGCUUAAUGCGUUAGCUUCGACACGGAGAGGGUUGAAGACCUCCCCACACCUAGUGCCCAACGUUUACGGCGUGGACUAC